rnacentral:rRNA from 1 species
GAUGAACGCUGGCGGCGUGCCUAAUACAUGCAAGUCGAGCGAAUGGAUUAAGAGCUUGCUCUUAUGAAGUUAGCGGCGGACGGGUGAGUAACACGUGGGUAACCUGCCCAUAAGACGGGGAUAACUCCGGGAAACCGGGGCUAAUACCGGAUAACAUUUUGAACCGCAUGGUUCGAAAUUGAAAGGCGGCUUCGGCUGUCACUUAUGGAUGGACCCGCGUCGCAUUAGCUAGUUGGUGAGGUAACGGCUCACCAAGGCAACGAUGCGUAGCCGACCUGAGAGGGUGAUCGGCCACCCUGGGACUGAGACACGGCCCAGACUCCUACGGGAGGCAGCAGUAGGGAAUCUUCCGCAAUGGACGAAAGUCUGACGGAGCAACGCCACGUGAGUGAUGAAGGCUUUCGGGUCGUAAAACUCUGUUGUUAGGGAAGAACAAGUGCUAGUUGAAUAAGCUGGCACCUUGACGGUACCUAACCAGAAAGCCACGGCUAACUACGUGCCAGCCGCCGCCGUAA